rnacentral:lncRNA from 1 species
GUUCCGUGGAAUUUCCAUGGAAUUUAUGCUUUCGAGUUGUUUGUGCUGAAACGCAUUCUCUCGUAUAAUACCCCGUACACUUUGAAAUGGCGAUGCCACAAUUUACCCCGCAGCAGAGAGCUUUUAUGCAUGUAUACAUGGUAUCAGAGUUCCUCCGUAGCAACAACAUAAACUUGGUUCGCCAACGUUUCACGAACGAUUAUCCAGAUGUACGAUGCCCUUCACGUAUUCGCACGUGAGGGGCAUCGUACAUCUGGAUAUUCUUUCGUGAAACUUUGGCGAACCAAGUUUAUGUGGUUGCUACGGAGGAACUCUGAUACCAUGUAUACAUGCAUAAAAGCUCUCUGCUGCGGGGUAAAUUGUGGCAUCGCCAUUUCAAAGUGUACGGGGUAUUAUACGAGAAAAUGCGUUUCAGCACAAACAACUCGAAAGCACAAAUUCCAUGGAAAUUCCACGGAACUCUCAUGGGAGUAAAAAUGAAUUCAUAAUGAAGCAAGAACAGCACCAACAGAGUUUUUUAAACGUUUUCAUAGGCUUUUCGGAGGAUUUGUACUCGGUAAAAUCCUGCCGAAAUUUUAUCAUAAAUGCAACAAAUAGCGAACUUUUCAUACAUGAACUCAAAUAAAGAAUACCGUUUGUCAUUUCCGUGCGCAAGCCACUUUUAGGAGAGCAAAAGUUGACCACCCCCCUGGAUAGCAAAAUUUACUAUUUUUAAUUUUUUUUAUAUUUUCCAUAAUUUAAGAACUCAAGCAAUCCAUAC